rnacentral:rRNA from 1 species
CAUGCCUCAGUACGGCGAGUGAGCGGCAACAGCUCAAAUUUGAAAUCUGGCCGCAAGGUCCGAGUUGUAAUUUGUAGAGGAUGCUUUUGGCGAGGUGCCUUCCGAGUUCCCUGGAACGGGACGCCAUAGAGGGUGAGAGCCCCGUACGGUCGUGCCACCGAGCCUCUGUAAAGCUCCUUCGACGAGUCGAGUAGUUUGGGAAUGCUGCUCUAAAUGGGAGGUGUACGUCUUCUAAAGCUAAAUACCGGCCAGAGACCGAUAGCGCACAAGUAGAGUGAUCGAAAGAUGAAAAGCACUUUGAAAAGAGGGUUAAAAAGUACGUGAAAUUGUUGAAAGGGAAGCAUUCAUGACCAGACUUGGGCUUGGUUGAACAUCCGGCGUUCUCGCCGGUGCACUCUGCCAGCUCAGGCCAGCAUCAGUUUGCCCCGGGGGAUAAAGGCGGCGGGAAUGUGGCUCCCCUCGGGGAGUGUUAUAGCCCGUCGUGUAAUGCCCUGGGGCGGACUGAGGUUCGCGCUUCGGCACGGAUGCUGGCGUAAUGGUCAUCAAUGACCCGUCUUGAAACAACCGGACCA